AAACCCUUUCAGCCUGAGCCUGACAUUUGAUGGAGGAGUUCCAGGGAGCUGCAGUCCUCCCCCGUGGAGUGUCAGUGAGCUCCAGAAGGCAGUUUUAAACUGGAGUGCUGAGGCUACAACUGUGAACCUUAAAGCAUGUAUUAGUGCACAUGUCUGUGCUUUAUCACAAUAAAGGAUAAUGAGCAAAUGUCUUUUUUGAGCAUCAAAUCCAUAUAAACAUGUGCUGGCACUUAUAAGUGAUUAAAUAAAGCUUAUGUAGACAACA